rnacentral:rRNA from 1 species
CACCACAACGGUGGAGCCUUGCGGUUUAAUUGGACUCAACGCCGGGCAGCUCACCGGAUAAGACAGCUGGAUGAUAGCCGGGCUGAAGACUCUGCUUGACUAGCUGAGAGGAGGUGCAUGGCCGUCGUCAGUUCGUACUGUGAAGCAUCCUGUUAAGUCAGGCAACGAGCGAGACCCACGCCAACAGUUGCCAGCAUGUCCUCCGGGAUGAUGGGGACACUGUUGGGACCGCCUCUGCUAAAGAGGAGGAAGGAAUGGGCAACGGUAGGUCAGCAUGCCCCGAAUUAUCCGGGCUACACGCGGGCUACAAUGGUCAGGACAAUGGGUAUCGACACCGAGAGGUGGAGGCAAUCUCCUAAACCUGUCCUUAGUUCGGAUUGUGGGCUGCAACUCGCCCACAUGAAGCUGGAAUCCGUAGUAAUCGCGUUUCAAAAUAGCGCGGUGAAUAUGUCCCUGCUCCUU